rnacentral:rRNA from 1 species
GAUCCUGGCUCAGAAUCAACGCUGGCGGCGCGCCUAACACAUGCAAGUCGAACGAGAAAGUGGAGCAAUCCAUGAGUAAAGUGGCGUACGGGUGAGUAACACGUGGAUAAUCUACCCUCUAGUGGGGAAUACCGCUGGGAAACCGGCGACAAUACCGCAUAAGCUCGAGAGAGGAAAGCAGCAAUGCGCUGGAGGAGGAGUCCGCGGCUGAUUAGCUAGUUGGUGAGGUAAUGGCUCACCAAGGCAGAGAUCAGUAGCCGGCCUGAGAGGGCACACGGCCACACUGGCACUGAAACACGGGCCAGACUCCUACGGGAGGCAGCAGUGGGGAAUCUUGCACAAUGGGGGAAACCCUGAUGCAGCGACGCCGCGUGAGCGAUGAAGCCCUUCGGGGUGUAAAGCUCUUUCGGCAGGGAAGAUAAUGACGGUACCUGCAGAAGCAGCUGCGGCUAACUACGUGCCAGCAGCCGCGGUAAUACGUAGGCAGCAAGCGUUGUUCGGAGUUACUGGGCGUAAAGGGUGUGUAGGCGGUUGGAUAAGUGUGGUGUGAAAUCUCCCGGCUUAACUGGGAGGGUGCGCUACAAACUGUCUGACUAGAGUGUGGGAUGGGUAAGUGGAAUUCCUGGUGUAGCGGUGAAAUGCGUAGAUAUCAGGAGGAACACCGGUGGUGUAGACGGCUUACUGGACCAU